AGUGAACGCUGGCGGUAGGCCUAACACAUGCAAGUCGAACGGCAGCACAGUAAGAGCUUGCUCUUACGGGUGGCGAGUGGCGGACGGGUGAGGAAUACAUCGGAAUCUACUUUUUCGUGGGGGAUAACGUAGGGAAACUUACGCUAAUACCGCAUACGACCUACGGGUGAAAGCAGGGGAUCUUCGGACCUUGCGCGAUUGAAUGAGCCGAUGUCGGAUUAGCUAGUUGGCGGGGUAAAGGCCCACCAAGGCGACGAUCCGUAGCUGGUCUGAGAGGAUGAUCAGCCACACUGGAACUGAGACACGGUCCAGACUCCUACGGGAGGCAGCAGUGGGGAAUAUUGGACAAUGGGCGCAAGCCUGAUCCAGCCAUACCGCGUGGGUGAAGAAGGCCUUCGGGUUGGAAAGCCCUUUUGUUGGGAAAGAAGAGCAGCAGGUUAAUACCCCGCUGUUCUGACGGUACCCAAAGAAUAAGCACCGGCUAACUUCG
rnacentral:rRNA from 1 species